GGCCUGCGGCUCCAGGGGGCGGAACCGAGCCGUCUCCUCAGGACCUACGCAGGAGGCGCCGUCAUCCCUACAGGGACACCUGAGAGGGCCCAGCCUCCUCCUCCUCAGGACCUACUCGGGAGACGCCGCUGGCUCUCUAGGAACACCUGGGGACCGUGGCCAGGGACGACCCAGCCUCCUUCUCCUCAGCUCCUCAGGAACGACUGGGGAAGCUGUGGCUUCAUGGUCCCCGAGGCUGCCCGAGGAAAGAGUCUCAACCAGGCUGGAGUGCAGUGGCGUGAUCUCGGCUCACUGCAACCUCCGCCUCCCAGGUUCAAGCGAUUCUCCUGCCUCAGCCUCCUGAGUAGCUGGUAUUACAGGUAUUUCAGGACAGCCAGGAGGGGGCGCACAUCCGCCGCGAAACUGUGAGCAAGAGCGUCUGUGCUGAACCAUGGCGCCACCAGAGGGCGCGCGAUCCCGCCCCAACCAACUUCCCGCUGAAGUGCCAGAAGCAGCGAGGAGCUUCAACUUCCUCAGGGCAGCACGGGGGUCGUGUUAAUUUGGUGUUCUUCAUUGAUGAUGAUUAUUCCCCACCUUCUAAGAGACAAAGACCAACGAGCCACCACAGCCACCAGUCCCAGAACCUGCCAAUGCUGGGGAACGGAAAAUGAGGGAGUUCAACUCUGGCCCUCACAAUCCAGUGGAGGAGACGAAACUCAUCUGCCUCUGUCCCUCUGGGCACGCCUCAUGCCAGGUGCAUCUGUGGACAGGGGCCAUGCUCCUGGGCUUCCAAAGUUGGAGAAAGCUGCCAGGCUCAGGUCUGAAGGCCAGAAUUCUACAGUAAGUCCUACUGAGUCAAGGUGGGAGCAGGGUCGGUAGCUUCCGAGGCUCUGCGGGAGAAUCCGUUUCCUGGCCGUAGAGGUGGCCUGCACUCCGCAGCUUGUGCUGCCCGUCUCGAAUGACUGGAGUUUCCUGCUUCUGUCACUACACCUCCCACCCUCUCCAUCACCUGCUCUGCUCUUACAAGGAUCCGAAGAAAUGGAAUCAUCGUAUCGCUGAUCUACGUAAACAAACUGAAGAAUUGUCUGAAAGAAAAUAUGACAUGAACUUAUGAAUUCAACAGGUGAAGAUUUACAACUUGAUAAAUCAACUUUGUCAGCUCGAGCUGUAAAAGCCAAAGGUCCGGUGAUGAUCCCAUACCCUUUUUUCCAGUCUCAUGUUGAAGAUUUUUAUGUAGAAGGCCUUCCCAAA
rnacentral:lncRNA from 1 species